GGAUCUGGUGGCUACGGUGACCUCGGAAUAAGAGAGAAACAGAGUUUAACAGCUCUUAAACGUUUCGUCUUUGACAUACUGUGUUGAUUUUCUAUCAGCUGACUUGUAAAUAUAUGAAACACUGACAAUGUAUUUGUUGGACCAAUAAUACUUGCUGAUAAAAUGUCUUUGUAUCUUCAGACGAACAGCAUCCUAGAGAUUGUGAAGACCCCACACUGGACCACCAUAAACCCAAACCCAGCCAAAGCUCAGAACUGAGCACCAACAGCACACUACUGGACGACGUAGCGAACUGUUGCUGGAAGGGGCAGAGCAGAUCUGUGAGACUGAUGCUGCCCAAAUCUGUAGCUCGCACCCCCUGUGACCAGGCCUACUGGAUGCUGAAAGCUCUCUUGAAGAUUGUUCGGAGCAGUUCGUCUUCCAUCAGACCAAUCGAGAAAAGUGCGUCCACAGCUUGUUAUCAGGAUUUCCAUCUGUUGCUGAUCUUGCAUCUUCUACGCUUUGGCAGUGAAGAGCUGCAGACACCUGCAGACACGCAUCAGUGCACAUUCUGCUACAUAAUAAACAGUCGACUGUUUGUGGCUCCGCUGGAUGCACAGACCGCCUGUCCAGUGUGCAAGAUGCCCAAAUCUGAACACCAUUAUACUGAAUGA
rnacentral:lncRNA from 1 species